rnacentral:RNase_P_RNA from 1 species
GGGGGAGACGGGCGGAGGGGAGGAAAGUCCGGGCUCCAUAGGGCAGGGUGCCAGGUAACGCCUGGGGGGGAAACCCACGACCAGUGCAACAGAGAGCAAACCGCCGAUGGCCCACGUAAGUGGGAUCAGGUAAGGGUGAAAGGGUGCGGUAAGAGCGCACCGCGCGGCUGGUAACAGUCCGUGGCACGGUAAACUCCACCCGGAGCAAGGCCAAAUAGGGGUUCACAUGGUACGGCCCGUACUGAACCCGGGUAGGCUGCUUGAGCCAGUGAGCGAUUGCUGGCCUAGAGGAAUGACUGUCCACGACAGAACCCGGCUUACCGGUCAGCUCCCUCU